rnacentral:rRNA from 1 species
UACGAAGGGGGCUAGCGUUGUUCGGAUUUACUGGGCGUAAAGCGCACGUAGGCGGUUUGUUAAGUCAGGGGUGAAAUCCCGGAGCUCAACUCCGGAACUGCCUUUGAUACUGGCAGCUAGAGUCCGGAAGAGGUAAGUGGAACUCCUAGUGUAGAGGUGGAAUUCGUAGAUAUUAGGAAGAACACCAGUGGCGAAGGCGGCUUACUGGUCCGGAACUGACGCUGAGGUGCGAAAGCGUGGGAGCAAACAGG